CGCUGCCCCGCUCGGCCCCGCGCCGCGCAUGCGCCGCCCCCGCUGAGGGGACGCUGAGGGGACGCUGAGGGGGGCUGAGGGCAGGGCGCUGGGGCUGGUGCGGGGCGAGGCGUUAGCGGCAGGCAGCGGGAGGAAGGGGGCAGCCCCGGCUCAGCCGCUGUCCCGCCGCCUUCCUUCAGUCACACACAGUGCGGAGAUUUGAAGGAAAAAGCCGCCCCGACCCGCGCCGGUGCGCUGUGGGCACAACCCGUGCCGGUGCGCUGUCUGCCUCGACAUCGGUAACAUCACUGAGGCGGCGGCAGGAGAAUGAAAAGUAUGGCCUGGAAACUGGUGAGUCAUCUGAGGGAAUCAGUGGACUGUUCUCACAAAGCUGAUAAUCUGGACACACGAAAGCGGAGCGCUGGUAGUACCGACAUCCUGGGCCUCCUGGGUCCUGGCAGCAGCCUGGCUACAGCAACAGUGGAGCCCAGAUGAGCUACUGCUGCUUGAGGUGUGUGUGUGUGGGGGAAAUUAUCCUGGUGAAUCUGUGUGCUAAUUCAGCUAGACUAUUUCCCCUACCCAAACCAUGUUCUUGAAAACUAUCACUUUAUUGUGCUAUCCAUUGUGACUUUUCAGAUUUCUGUGUAGACAUUCCCCAUGGACAGAUCCCUUCCUAAUCUUUUCUCCUGUAAAUAGAUUGAGC
rnacentral:lncRNA from 1 species